AACGAACGCUGGCGGCAGCCUUAACAGAUGCAAGUCGAGCGCGCCUUCGGGUGAGCGGCGGACGGGUUAGUAACGCGUGGGAACGUGCCCUUCUCUACGGAAUAGCCUCUGGAAACGGAGAGUAAUACCGUAUACGCCCUUUGGGGGAAAGAUUUAUCGGAGAAGGAUCGGCCCGCGUUAGAUUAGGUAGUUGGUGGGGUAACGGCCUACCAAGCCUACGAUCUAUAGCUGGUUUUAGAGGAUGAUCAGCAACACUGGGACUGAGACACGGCCCAGACUCCUACGGGAGGCAGCAGUGGGGAAUCUUAGACAAUGGGGGCAACCCUGAUCUAGCCAUGCCGCGUGAGUGAUGAAGGCCUUAGGGUCGUAAAGCUCUUUCGCCUGUGAUGAUAAUGACAGUAGCAGGUAAAGAAACCCCGGCUAACUCCGUG
rnacentral:rRNA from 1 species